GAGUUUGAUCUUGGCUCAGGACGAACGCUGGCGGCGUGCCUAACACAUGCAAGUUGAGCGGAGAUAUGGAGAGCUUGCUCUUUAUAUUUUAGCAGCGAACGGGUGAGUAACACGUAGAUAAUUUGUCCUAUAUUGGGGAGUAGCCGGAUGAAAUUAGGUAGUUAAUUACCGCCAUACAGCUAUUUAACCGUACCGAUGGGGAGGAUAGUGAAAGGGGAAGGACUUGAUAUAGGAGGAGUCUGCGGCACA
rnacentral:rRNA from 1 species